AUACUUUAAAUCACAUGAUACUAAAAUGAAAAAGUAUAAAACCACAGGGGGUUUUUUGAAGUUUUUCCUUUUAUUAAUUCAUCUAACCGGUUCGGCGAAUCAGUUUGAACCGGUUCGGUGCAAAGCUUUUGUAAUCUUAGCUCGAGUCGCAAACUUUUGUAAUCUUAGCCCGACCGGUUCCCCCCUCAAAUGAUUAAAGGUUCGACGAAACCCUAGUCUCCUCUCUCUCUUCGCCCCAUCUUCAUCCUCGACUCUCCGCCUCCGCGUGGCUCCGAAACUCUAAUUCCUCGCCCUAGCUCAUCUUCUCCUACAAGCCCUAGUCGAGGUAACAUGUCGCAGAGCAAAGCAUCACUUGGUCUAUCAUGGGCUCCCAAGGUGCCUAUCUCUUCU